GACGAACGCUGGCGGCGUGCUUAACACAUGCAAGUCGAACGAUGAAGCCUUAGCUUGCUUUGGUGGAUAGUGGCGAACGGGUGAGUAACACGUGAGCAACGUGCCCAGGACUCUGGAAUAACCGCGGGAAACCGUGGCUAAUACCGGAUAGGUGCCGAGGCCGCAUGGUCUUCGGUUGGAAAGUUUUUGCGGUUCUGGAUCGGCUCACGGCCUAUCAGCUUGUUGGUGGGGUAAUGGCCUACCAAGGCGACGACGGGUAGCCGGCCUGAGAGGGUGACCGGCCACACUGGGACUGAGACACGGCCCAGACUCCUACGGGAGGCAGCAGUGGGGAAUAUUGCACAAUGGGCGCAAGCCUGAUGCAGCAACGCCGCGUGGGGGAUGACGGCCUUCGGGUUGUAAACCUCUUUUAGUAGGGAAGAAGCGCAAGUGACGGUACCUGCAGAAAAAGCACCGGCUAACUACGUG
rnacentral:rRNA from 1 species